UGUAAGUUUUGUAUUUGUACAUCAGAUAUUGUCACGAAAGAGUGGGGAUAGGGCUGUGGUGUGGGUUUGCACAUCAGUUUUUGCUCUAGAUAUGACGUGGCUACUCUCUAGAAGUUUCGUCGUUUACGCGGGAGCGGAUGCUAGCUUGGCUUGUUGUGGCUGUGAGGCGUGAUUGGUUGUGGUGUGUCACGUGGCGUGACUGACGAAUGGGACGCGGGUUGCGACAGAAAGAUCUAGAAUGCAAGCUCAGCGCUUUUUGGUCGUUAAAAAAUUUCUGGGGAGUGACAUCAGCAUCUCAAGUCUUUGGCGUGUGGCUCUUGUCAAGAAAAGUUGUCUGAGGUCGGCUCAAAGCUGUCCAAGUUCUUCUCUGCAACCCUGCCUCAGAAGUGUGUCGACUUCAGCAAUUGACUUCAGAGAGUGCGUAGUACUCCAGUACCAGCAGCUUUUUGAUGAAACCAGUAAAAGUUGAAUCUGGUGAAUGAGCGUCGGUCCCUGAGAGGUUCUGCAGUCGAGUCAACGCCCAGAUCUAACGGGACGAAAGAAGCCGGGGUGACACACGGCAAGACCAGAGUAAGAACGCCACGAAAUGCAUCAACCACCGUUGACUGUUUAAACAAAAUUCAAACUCCAUCUGCAACAUCGACGCUUUCUACACUGUUCUGAUCAACAAAUAACGUGAUGAAGCAGUCACCAACACAUUACCAGUCGUAUCCUUAUCCAGCACAAUGAUGAAGACAACUGACAGUGUGAGGAAACCACUGAUGUGUAUGCUCCACACAGUUAAACAGGAAUUGACGGAGACAAGCAGAAGAGAAGCUUCAACAGGAACACGUGCGAGUAUCAUCCCUUGAAGUUUGUGCAACUCUGGUUCAUCAAGACUUGAGAAUGGUCAAGUGACGUUCAUCAAAUCGUGACGUGCAAAUGCUUGAGAUGAACACCGCUCUGCAAGGGACUACAUGGGCAGCUUAGCCUACAACGUCUGGUCAACAACAGUUUACUCUUGCACCAAAGUAAGUCAAAUUGAAUGCCAGUCUAUAAAGAUAUAUUUUUUUCUUGUAGGAGUGUAAUUUGUAUCAGCGGUUUUGUUAUCGGUAUAGUAAAAACACAUCGAUUCCGACGUCUGACUCAUCUGAUCGUCCCAGUCGAUGUUGAUCCUGGGAUGUACACACUGUCGCGAUACAUAUACAUAUAAAUAGACUACAUACUAUUACUAUACAUAUACUAAUCUUUAGUGCAUAUAUAUUGAAAAGGUGUCAAGACAAAAAAAUAAGCAGUACACUCACAUAGUUCUUAAAUCCACAGUAAUAGAUGCGUAUGAAUCUUGCGUAUUAAUCACUGUUACAGACUUACCUAUGAGAAGAUACUGCCUCGGGUUAUCUCUAAAAUGGUGAAUUGGGGCUUUCACACUGGAGUAUUGCUAAUACAACUUGUGUACAAUACUGUGUGAGGUCACAGUGACAUAAAUAACAAACAGUUAUGAGACGAGUAAUAUGAGAUUACCAUAACAGUCACGGUCAUUUUGUUGAAUGAGUAAAUAGCUAUUCAUAUUUCGAUCUGCACGCCGCUUCCCCCCUUCACGCACGUGAGGUAAUUAUUACCUGUUGCCUGUCGCGCAUGCACCUCCGGGAUCGAUUUCCUCGUGUCAUUUUCGUACGUACCAAGAGAAAAGUCACUAUGACGAGAUUUUGAACUGGGGUGGGCAAGAAAACCCGAACAAAAAUAUGUGACCAAGUGGUGGGUUUUUUUUCUAACGACGACGACCGUCCAUCAUUAAAUAUAAAAGCAGGUCUUGUCAACAGGUGCAACCCUUUUACUGUGCAGCUAGAACAAUCGCCACGGCUGCGCCACACGUCGAUCUCCUUCCCCGAUCGCCCCGUUGUUCCUCCUCUGAUCUUUUUCCUAACGUCCUCCGUUUGUCGUCACCUUUUUGUCGUCACCCUUAUUUUGACGUCAUAAUUUAUGACGUCAUACCUCCAGCCCAUCACAAAUAAAACAACAACAACAAAAACAACAUUAAUAUCCACAUCUAUUUUGUUUAUAACUUAUUUAACUUGUUAACUUAAUGAAAAAAGAAUAAAAUAACGAUAAGAAGUAUUCACAUUUAUAACAUUUAUGAUCACAGCACAGAACUGGAUAUAAAAUGUGCAAUUAGCGGUGCUAGGUUGUACAUAAUAAUAAUAUAAUAAUAAUAAUAAUAAUAAUAAUAAUAAAUAAUAAUAAUAAUAAUAAUAAUUGGUGAGCUAUCUCAAAGCUCUUAACAAACAAGAAAUACAAAAGAAAGACAAAACAUCUUGCGGCUCUCUCGCUGCAGUUAACGGUGCUCGGCUGGAUGAAAUGUUCCCAGACCAAGAUGCUGAUCUAGUUCACUUGAAAUGUACAGGUCGUAAAGGUGUUGUUUCUUCCACAGCUAACACAGAAAAAUAUCAGCCACUAAUAGGUAAUAGUCAUGACUGGAAAAUAAAGCUUCAAAGCAGUCACCUGAACGUUAGCCAGCGCUUUGAUAAGUUAAACGUUGUUUGCACGAUUUAUUGAAACAACGCUCGUCGUAUUAGCAUAAUCAGUGACGAGCAAGAUUUCAGUGAAGACAUAUUCGAGUAAUCCGGGUUUUCAGUGUAGAAACCACAAAAUGUAACAAUAGAAAACAGCCAGCGGAAUUUGUGGCAAAACUUUCCAGCGUCACGCUAAAUGGUGCGAGUGAUGAGAAUGAUGCUGGUACUCUGCACACGUUGUCGUAAAAAUAAUAUUGAACAUGUUUUAGCGAGUUCCUGUGGUCGACGGCUGCUGGAUGCAUUGUGUUGUGCGACGCCGCUGAAGUUUCCCGUAGCUGGAUGUUGUCGCCUUCUCGUACCCUUUCCACCCAGGCCUGACGCUGUUCUUUAAUGUAGUUCACAAGCUCGCCACCUUUGAGACCGAGAGCCUCCCCUUCAGUCUUUGCGUGGAGUCUAAUUCUUCCUCGUCGACGUUAUCUCGAGAUCUGCUGCUCCUUGGCAUGUUUGUUUAUAUCCGGAGAAAACUUUGGGAAGAAUCAGAGGUUGGCGACGCUAUGCUUCCUGAGCUAAGUUGGUACGUGCUAACUGCACUAACAAAAAAAAAAAAAA
rnacentral:lncRNA from 1 species